UACAGAGGGGGCAAGCGUUGUUCGGAAUUACUGGGCGUAAAGGGCGCGUAGGCGGCCUUCUAAGUCGAACGUGAAAUCCCGGGGCUCAACCCCGGAACUGCAUUCGAUACUGCCUUGCUAGAGUACUGGAGAGGAGAUUGGAAUUUACGGUGUAGCAGUGAAAUGCGUAGAUAUCAGGAGGAACACCGGUGGCGAAGGCGGCUCUCUGGACCACAACUGACGCUGAGGCGCGAAAGCUAGGGGAGCAAACAGG
rnacentral:rRNA from 1 species